CGUUCCCGGGCCUUGUACACACCGCCCGUCACACCACGAAAGCGAGCAACACCCGAAGCCGGUGGCCUAACCGCAAGGAGGGAGCCGUCGAAAGGUGGGGCCCGUGAUUGGGGUG
rnacentral:rRNA from 1 species